rnacentral:lncRNA from 1 species
CAAUAGAGUGCCUUUUGGGUACUGUAAUUUGGUAAAAAAGAAAGAACGUUUUUAUUAAAUUUGUAUUUCUAAAUUUUAACAUUCUGUCAUAAGGAGUACAUGUUCAACUUCAUAAAAAAGGUGUUCCCCAUCUCAAGAAAAAAAAAAUACUAGAGUAAGUGCCAAUUAAAGUAACAUGGUUGACCGUAUCUGGGUUAAAUAUUUCAUCUUAAAUCAGCUGUAAAUUCUAUGUGAGAAUGCUAUUCAUUGACUACAGCUCAGCAUUCAACACCAUAGUGCCCUCAAAGUUCAUCACUAAGCUAAGGACCCUGGGACUAAACACCUCCUUCUGCAACUGGAUCAUGGACUUCCUGACGGGCCACCCCAGGUGGUAAAGCUCUCCAGCCUCAGGAAGCCAGCGGAACUCCAGCGUGUCCUUCAGCCUGCCCCCCUCCUCCUGCACCCCUCCUUCCAGCCUGCCCCCUCACCUCUGCAGCCCCCCGGACACCUCGAACCUCUCCUCGCCCCCCUGCCCCUCCUCUUUACCCCACUCUGCCUCGGCCAGCCUCAGCGACCUCUUCGGCCUGCCCACCCCACCCAUGGGGAGUGCGAGUGGCUUCGGCAACAUGGGUGGUAGCCUUGGUGGAGGGUCCUCGUGCGGUGGCUCGCGCUCCCCCUCACCACUCACCCUAAUGCAGGCCGUAGCCACCUCAGGCAAGCCCUUCGCCUCCAAGCCCGUGGAGCUGUGGAGCAAGCUGGACGUGGCCGACUGGCUGGACAGUCUGAAUUUGUCGGAGCAUAAAGACGCCUUCCUGGACAACGAGAUCGAGGGCGCCCACCUGCCCUCGCUGCAGAAAGAGGAUCUGAUUGACCUGGGGGUGACGAGGGUGGGCCACCGCAUGAACAUCGAGAGGGCCCUCAAAAUGCUGCAGGACAGAUAAAGCCAGGGGGUGUGGAUUUAUCUGAAACACUCUCUCUCCUACCUGUUCUCCUUUUCUGUCUGGGACGAUUUAGGACUCGGCCUCUGACUCCUCCCUUCCUGCCUCGACUCUGUGGUGUGUUUGUGUUUGACCAUUCCCAUUCUGCUUCCCGAGUAUCAAGGGAUGUCGGAAUCCUGGAGAAACUACAUCAAUCCAGAAUGGAGAAAAAGUGGGAAAAAUCCUGCAUCUUUUUAGGGAUGCUCAUGUCACCACACUUUGGAAUAUUCUUGAAACGUAGCCCUCAAACACUUUGAAAUACUGAUAGAAAUCCAACCUGGACAUUUUUGGAAUACUAAAGACUACAACUCCCAAUUUGCUUUGGAAUACUCAAUACUUUUUCAAGCUCCCACCGUGCGGGUGUUUGGAACCAGCUGAGCUGGUUGGCGCUCCUUUUCUAUCUUUGCUAGAGUUUCUUCAGAGAAUAUUUCUUCACUAGAGUCAAACCGUGGGUUAUGUUUAUGGAUGCAUCUGACGUUGUAGAGACAUUUGAAAAACAUUAGAAACGAGAACCUUUGCAGAAAUGUUUAGCUUAAUCCUAAACCAUAUCACUCGUUGCAAGCAAAUACACACACACACACACACACACACACACACACACACACACACACACACACACACACACACACACACACACACACACACACACACACACACACACACACACACACACACAGAUAUCCGGCGAUGGCCUUCUCCUGAGAGAGAGAAACAUACUGAUGUGUUAGUCUUUUCUAAUGCAUGGCUGGAGGGGCUCUACUGUAGCAGGCACCACUGUCCCCUUCACAUCCCUGUUCACUGUGGAAGGUGUGUGUAUUUGCGUUUUGUCAGAGACAUGUUUGUGAGGCGUGUGUGCGCACACUGUGGGAGGUUUGUUAAAUGGGUUUUAGAAAGACAUGAGUGAGAGUGUAAGGUCUAGAUUCAAUCAAAUCAAGCGUUAAGCGGUGCUAGCCGACACCCACAUAGCUGAUGUUUUGGCAGUGUCGGAAGUGUAACUGUGUUAGAGCUGUCAAAUCGGUGAUCAUUGUCACAAAGCCACACCCAUUCCUUUUGUGUUGUAAGUUCAAAAAGAGAAAGUGUAUGCUAUAUAGAAAUAAUAUAGCAUACAAUAAUAUGCUCAAAUUGAAAAUCAUGAAACAAAAUAAUGAGGAUUUCUAUCAGCCUAAUCAAGGUGUAGACUGCAUCUCACAUUCUGGUGUUCGAACUUGUAAACAGGGCUGCGUGGGAUUUCUCUUAAUGCGACUCCAUGCCGCCAAUGGCAAUGUCUGUUUUAGGAGCCGCUUGUGGAUUUGACAGCUCUAACACAGUUCCACCUCCGACACUGCCAAAACAACCCUACGCUGGUGUGGAUCUGAUAGAAUCUAGCCCUAAGUGUUGGCGUCAUGUGUGUUUUCAUUGUCUUCCACACAAUUGACAGUGACCUGGACAGGAGUGGAAUGCCAGACCCCUACUCCCUAUCCCCGAACCAACCAACCUCCCUUCAGGCCUAUGACAGAAAUAAUCCACCUAUCACAACAACAAUUUUCCUGCCAUAAUAUCACCAUCUCUCUCCAGCCAUCUUUAAUCAUGUCUAAUCACUGAGUGAUUCCUUUCACAGAUCAAACAUUGUUUUUAUAUUAAUACCAGUGUGUGCUGUUGUGUUAUAGGUGAGGGUUAAAAAAAAAUAGUUGACACAAUGAUUCUCGGCGGGUAUUUGAAGACAACCAUUUAAAGGAUGAGUGCAAAACGGGUGUUACUUUGUGAUCUGGGUUAACAUAGGACAGUGUGCUUGACCUUGUGCUUGUUUUUAGACAGCUAACCUAUACUGUUCAUUGCAGGGGCCAAGAAUACUAUGAAUAAUAUUAAUUCACUCAAAUCUGCUACCCAGACAUUCACACAAUCACCGAAGAGGAUUUAAAAAAGAUUUAUAGGAACGUUUACAAAGUUUGUGUAUAAUCAGUGUUUGCAUUGCCGAUGAAUCACAAAAUGUAAUUAUUAACAAGAAGAGGUGUUAAUCCUAACUGCUGUUUCCAGAGGGAAGAAAAGAGGUGUGACACAGCAGCACCGACUGAGCAGCUAUUAGAGGGGUAUGGUUUGAUCCAGCCAAUAAAGGCUUUCGAGGAUGCAUUUGGUCCCUGUUCAUUUGAGAAUGAGAGGGAGAGUCCUCCAUAACACUUUACAUAAGCCUGCAGGUAUAAACCUUUUAUAAGGCUUGCUUAUAAAAAGUUAUAAAGUAUUAUUACUACAGGCUUCAAGUAAAAUGUUACUGAGUCCUUUUCUCAACACCAGUGAUGAGCUCUCACACCAAUGAGCAGGUAGAACAAGAUUAUCUUCCAAUCAAAGCUCCAAUCUGACAGCCAAUCAAUAGUUUCCAUCCUUUUUCAUGAAACACCAUUAUGUCAAUGUUAAUAUGAGAACUGCUGAUAGGUCACUACCCAGGAAGUGUUUGAUGGCAUUGAUUUUAAGUAAAUUGAAUAUAUUUAUUGUUUUGAAUGUGUAUUAAGGAAUGAUUUAAAGAAAAGAGUACAUCUAUAGAAUAAUUAUAUGUAUAAUAUUUCUAAAAGGUUCAGAGAGAGAAUUUCUAUGAAAGACUAUGGCCAUUGCAUCCACCCUCAGAACUUAUUUUCUUGUCACUAUCCCUGUUUUAUGUUUGGAUAGUGCCUCAAAUAGCUCAUUAUUCUCUACAUAGUGCCCCAUUUCUGGCCUCUCUGCCUCUGAACUAGAUUAGAACUACCCCAGAAUGGACUGCAAAGAGAAGUGUGGAUGCCAUGUAUGCCACUGUACCCAGAUUACCUAUAUAUUAUAACAUAUCACUAAAAAGUGAACAGUAUUUUGUGGUCAUUCGAGACAUAUCCAUGAUUCUAUCAGUUCACAGUGAUGUUCUAUGAACAUAACCAUGAUUGUUUGGAUUGUGUGCAAUUUAGGGGCUCCUGUUGGACAAAAAAAAUCUACCUUGGUGAGAUUCCUUUUUCUCUCUCCUGGUCCCUGUGUGCAACUGUAUGAUGAUGAAGGGAAGACAAAGGGAUGAUAAAAAAGAGGACUUGCAGGAGUUAUAACGCUGCUAUAAUCCAUUCAUUAUUUUAAAAGACUCAACAAAAGUGACAUAGAAAAAAGCACAGUAUUUUUUAUGAUUUAUAUAGAAUUAUAUGGAAUUUUAUAAAAGACAUUUGGAGAAAAAUAUUCAACUCUGAAGUGUGGUUUGCCAAAAAGUGAAGAAAAAAACCAAGAACUAUAUUAUAUAUAAAUAUAUAUUAAUAGAAAUUAAUAUUAUCAGAUUUAUGAGGAAACUAAGAAGCAAUAUUUAUACUGAAUGGAUAUCCUUGGUGGUGUUUUUUCCCAGUUUUAAGAUGAACUAUCAUUAUAUAUUAUCACCUGUUGAUGUUAUGAACACUGAUAGAUGAAGUGGACAGAAGACAUUUGUCCAAUCAAAAUAUAUUUUAUAUACUAUCCUCUGGCCAUCACCUGCCUAUCUUGAAUAUUGUAAUUUUUGACAAUUCCAAUCGCUUAGUCUGUAUAAAAUGUGUGUAUAAAUGACUGAAACGCUUUACAUUUAUACAUAUCCUCACAGUCCACUGGAUCGAAAACUGUCCCGAUGACACUUUUAUGCUCAACUUAUAUAGAAAUGUACAAAAAAAGAUUCGUUGUGACUGUUGAUUUCAUGGAGAAAAAAACAACAUAUCACUAAGCUAAUUUAUAUGUGGAAUCGUAGAACUGAGUAGUAGUAUUAAGAUGCUAUACAAAUCAUCACUGUGUGACUAUAAGGCUAUGCUACAUAAGGACUGGCAUGGCUCACUAUCCCCCCUACCAUCACAACACAGUUCUUCACUUACCCAUCGGCAACUAUUUGGAUACUUUUGCUAUUUUCUCUUCUUCUUUAUUUUCUCUUCUCUUCUUUUAUUUUUCAUUCUACAUAAAUACCAAGACGUUUCCGUCUCUUUUGUGUAUAUUUGUGUUCAUGUUCUCUAUGUUGUAAUUCCUCAUACGUAGAGUCGACUAUCUAAUUAUCAAUAUGAAUAAGAAAGAGAAGUUUCUUGUAACUGCACUCUUCCUUCCCCCCAAAUCCUCAAUACUUCUUGUAUGGCA